AAAAAGUCUAAAUUAAAUGGUGUUGUCAUGUCAAUUACCAUUGACAAUAUUUAUUUAUUAAAUAGCAGACACUUGUCAAAACCUAUUUAUAUAAAAUCAUAUUUACACUUGAUAAAAACAUCAAAGUUAAUAUUUAAGGCAAUAAUAAAUAUGUUUAUCCUUAUUGAAAGACGAAAUGUAGAAAAUGUUAUUUUGGGCAGUUAAUCCAAAGGUGUCAAUGUGCAAUAUACAAACAAUGCAAUAAACAGAUAAAUGAAUAAUGCAGUCUGUUCUAAUAUACAUCAAACAAAAGUAUUUUAAGUAUGUGUGCUUAUUUAAGUCUAUUUAGUUUUGUAUUUUAUUUUUUUAUAAAUAAAUAAGACUUUACAUUAAAUUGUGUUUACAAUUUAAAAAUACGACUAACUAAUACUAAUAUUUAUUGGUGCACUUUCGUUCCUAAAACAAUGACAUAUAUUGCAAUGCACCUUGGAAAUAGUAGUCAUUUAACCUCAACAGCGUUCAAUACGCCGUGGAAAAUGGACUACCUUUCCCAUAAUGCAACUGGUCAGGAUCAGGAACUUCCGCGAAUUUCAAACCCCCAGCUGUGUACUGGACGGAGGACGCGCGAUCUUUUGUUUUGUGGAGUUUUAUAUAACACAGUAAGGUGCAAGUAUUUUAUCAUCAGUCGCCAUUUAACGUUAAACAUGCAUGUUUUUACAGUAAGAGACGCAACAUGCAUGACGGGGAUGAUAAAAUAAUCAAUAAGAAGUUUGAAUCUUUAAAAAUAAAUUAAUGCUGAACCCCAAAGAAGCCAACCGAAGAUGAGAUGUUUUCUGUACCAAUCCACAACUCAACAUUUGCUGAAGUCAUGAACCACACUUUGUCAACAAUAAAUGUUGUUUCUGCAAUCUGGAUAAAGAAUAAUAAAUUACUGCCUCUUGGAGAACAGCCGACUGUACUCCAGACAGAGACAAAGACGUGAGGACAUCUAUUGCUUUUGUAAAGGAAUUUUAUACCCAAGAGUUAUAAAUGUUGUCUUUAUUGUUUGUCUUAAUAUUUUAUUUGACAUUUUAACAAUAUAAAGUUUACUUGUACUUGUUUUUUGUUUGUAGAAGUCAUGUACCACACUUUGUCAACAAAACAUGUUGUUCCUGCAAUCUGGAUGAAGAAUAAUUUGAGUUUAAUACUUCAUUUAAAAUGUAAUAGUUUAAAUAUUAAACAAAUGUGUAUCUGAUCAGAUGUUUGACUUCUCUAUUUAAUAGAUAUUACUGCCUCUUGGGAAAAAGCAGACUGUACUCCAGACAGAGACAAAGACAUGAGGACAUCCAUUGCUUUUAAGUUCUAUACCAGACUAUGUUGUUCCAGCUGUCUGGGUAAAGACUGAUACAUUACUGCCUCUUGGAGAACAGCAAACCAUUCUCCAGACAGAGACAAAGACAUGGACAUCAAAACAGAAAAUUAAGUACUUUAUCAUGGAUUGUUUGGAGUGAACGCUGACAAAUAAUGAAGCAAGAAAUGAAAAUGCUUGACCAAAACAAUUUUUGUACUUGGCUGUAAGAAGUCCUUUGUGUGUACAGACAUGACUGGAGAUUAAAGUUACUAAAUGUUGCUUUUUUCUAGCUGGUGACAUAACAUGAUAUUAUUUUCAAAUGUAUUUAUCUAAUACACAUUUGCACAUCUGUAAACAUUCAUUUUAUAUUGCAUGUUUUUAUAUUUAACCAGUUGUUGUAUAUUGCUAUCUGUUAUUACAUCUGUUUUUUAUUGUCCGUUUAUUGUUUAAAACAAUUAAGUUAAUGUUUCUCUGUUAGCUUUUAUGUUACUUUGGCUAUUUCUUUGCUUUUAUUUGAUCCUUCUACUGUUAUUUGUUUAUUUGGCAGAACAUUUGACAUUUCAUUUAUUUUGCUGUUAUCUGAAAUUUUUCUUGUCAGCAUCAAUAAAACUCUAUAUUUGCUUUA